rnacentral:lncRNA from 1 species
CCCCUUUCCGAAGACUCGGCUCCUAUUGGCCCAGGGGCCGGGGUUGAAACGCCCUAAUAGCCGGACCGGGGUGAUCAUGUGACUUGCGGGGGUGGGGCUGCGCCGGCCUCUUCCCAGCCAGCUUGAAAGGGUUUGCGUAACCGGCCUUGCGGGCCCUUAACGCGCUCCGUUAAAGCGCUCUGUGGGCGGCCUGGCCUCAACUCCCUUAGUCUAGGAGCACGAAGGGAUUUACUCCUAGCUCUCGUCCGUCCCGGGUUCGCUUUUCUUUCCUUCCCGAUGCCUGGCUUUUAGAUCCACUACCGCAGAGUCUGCGGCUGCCAGGAAGCCCAGAUUCGAGUGUCCGGAGAGUAACCGGAAGUGCUAUCCCCAGGCCUAGGGGCGGCGCCGGCGGCUGCAGGGAGAGGGAAGAAUUGAGUGUUGUGAAUAGUACUGGACUAGAGACCUUUUGAAACCAAAAGGAAGAUGUUCUUGAGUCUUUCUUGUUAUGGCUUGGAAAUACCAAGUAAGGAAUUAACAUAUAUGAUGCUGGAAACUUGUAGAGGCUCAUGACUGAAAGGCCUGAAACAGAUGUAUCUUCCAAGUUUUUAUCAAGAAAAUGACUGUGAGGGCAAUGAUGGGUCAAGAAGACCAGUGGAAAACUCC